rnacentral:rRNA from 1 species
AUUGAACGCUGGCGGCAGGCCUAACACAUGCAAGUCGAGCGGAUGAAGGGAGCUUGCUCCUGGAUUCAGCGGCGGACGGGUGAGUAAUGCCUAGGAAUCUGCCUGGUAGUGGGGGAUAACGUCCGGAAACGGGCGCUAAUACCGCAUACGUCCUGAGGGAGAAAGUGGGGGAUCUUCGGACCUCACGCUAUCAGAUGAGCCUAGGUCGGAUUAGCUAGUUGGUGGGGUAAAGGCCUACCAAGGCGACGAUCCGUAACUGGUCUGAGAGGAUGAUCAGUCACACUGGAACUGAGACACGGUCCAGACUCCUACGGGAGGCAGCAGAGGGGAAUAUUGGACAAUGGGCGAAAACCUGAUCCAGCCAUGCCGCGUGUGUGAAGAAGGUCUUCGGAUUGUAAAGCACUUUAAGUUGGGAGGAAGGGCAGUAAGUUAAUACCUUGCUGUUUUGACGUUACCAACAGAAUAAGCACCGGCUAACUUCGUG